CAGCAGCCACGGUAAAACGUAGGUGGCAAGCGUUGUCCGGAAUUAUUGGGCGUAAAGGGCUCGCAGGCGGUUUCUUAAGUCUGAUGUGAAAGCCCCCGGCUCAACCGGGGAGGGUCAUUGGAAACUGGGAAACUUGAGUGCAGAAGAGGAGAGUGGAAUUCCACGUGUAGCGGUGAAAUGCGUAGAGAUGUGGAGGAACACCAGUGGCGAAGGCGACUCUCUGGUCUGUAACUGACGCUGAGGAGCGAAAGCGUGGGGAGCGAACAGGAUUAGAUACCCCGGUAGUCCCUGUCUCUUAUAC
rnacentral:rRNA from 1 species